GCGCUAUUAGCUCAGUUGGUAGAGCAUCUGACUCUUAAUCAGGUUGUCCGGGGUUCGGAUCCCCGAUGGCGCACCA
rnacentral:tRNA from 1 species